CGUCAGCUCGGCAUUUGGUUCGUGUUUAGCGGUGGAAGCGGCUCACACCAGCGUCCUUGCUUCAGCGGGAGGACCGGCGGGGCAGCGGUGCUUCGUCUCGCGGCCUCGUUUGUGGAGACUGGUUUUUCAAGUGGCGCCGGCAUUUCGAACAUCAAGUGUGUCUCCGUCAAGCUGUUGUCCAGACCUAUACUAAGCCAUGUGUCCCGUGGUUCUGCUGGCGCUGUUGUUGAGCCUUCUGUUGCUCUUGCUCGAGGUUGUGGCCGCGUUGUCCGUGGCCUUCAACCCAGCGCGCGUGGAGAAGUUGAAACAGGGCAACCUGGCGCGAGUCUCGUUUUCCGCACCCGCUCUGGAGCCACGAUUCUUCAGCGUCGCCUCGGACAAUCCGUAUGUGGCUUCCGUGGUCGAUCUAAAUGUGACUGAAACUGGCGCUUUUGUCAACGGGACGUUUGCCGUGAAGGGGAACUUUCUGGGUCACGCAAAGGUGCGCGUUGUGACCAAUGGCACCGAGUCGAACGAGUUUCUGCCCGUCAGCGUAGUGCGGAAGCAGAACAGACUCUCCUUAAUUUUCACGGUAUCCGUGGCCGUGCUAGUUUCAUUAAACUACAUCAACAUGGGCUGUGCUUUAGACAUGGAAGUUGUGAAAGACGUGCUGCGAAGACCUAUAGGCCCAGUGGUAGGCUUCUUCAGCCAGUAUCUUGCCAUGCCUUUGGUGGCUUAUGGAAUGGCACAGUGGCUUUUCGAAGAGGCUUACCUGCAGCUAGGACUUUUCACAUUUGGCUGUUCCCCUGGUGGAGGAGCUAGCAACAUGUGGACUGUUCUUCUUGGUGGCAACCUGAACUUAAGCAUCGCCAUGACCUUCAUCAGCACCAUUGCUUCUUUGGGCACUAUGCCCCUCUGGCUGUUCACGCUUGGACGCAGCCUGUUCCAGGAGGCAUCACUGCGCAUUCCCUUCCGCAACAUAUUCACCACAUUGGUGUCAAUGACACUGCCACUCGGUGUUGGUCUGGCCCUGCAGCGUUGGCGGCCCAAGGCUGCUGACGUGUGCAAGCGCCUGCUGGCCCCAGUGUCCGUGGCCAUGAUAGUGUACAUAGUUGUGUUUGGCACGUAUGCCAACCUGUACAUGUUCCGGCUGAUGAGCUGGCAAGUACUGUUGGCUGCGGCAGCCAACGUCUGGGUAGGCUUUGCAGUGGGUGCCCUGGCCACCCGGUUUGCAGGCCUCCCAUGGGCUGACGUGCUCGCAGUGUCCAUAGAGACUGGCGUCCAGAACACGGGCAUUGCCAUUGUGUUGCUGGGCUUCUCCCUGCCUCAGCCGGAGGCAGACAUUGCAUCGGUGGUGCCUGUGGCGGCCUCCAUUGUGACCCCCAUCCCACUGCUGCUGCUGCUGCUGGGGCAGAAGGUGUACAGCCGCUGCUGUCGCCGGGCUGACGCAGUGGCCGACGCAAAAGGUGUGGCAGCCUUUGCUGAGGUAGGCGCCGCGGGUGAUGUGGAGGAGAAGCGGGCAUUGACAGUCUGCAAUGGAACAGUGGCCAACGGGAUGCUCGGUGGCGGGAAGGCUGCUGAGGCCAGCUACGGUGACGAUCCUGAGCGGCUGUGAUGUGUUGUUGGUGUGACUUGGUGUCCCUCGCUCUUGUUCCCUGUGCACUUGCUGUGGCCUUGUUUUGUGGGUUGCUUGUCUUUCCAUCCUUUCCCUACAAGCACACGCUUUGAACACUUGGGAGGAGAUUCAGUUGCUUACUACUGACACUGUUGGCCUGCACAAUAUUUUAACCAAUACAGUGUGCCCAAGAGCAAGCUGACAUUAUGAGUCAGAAGUAUUCUCAAUUUUGUGUGUGUGGUGUGUGUUCCUUUUAUGAGUAAAUUCUAUCCAGAGGCAAGAAACGCUUGCUUAUUCUAUUUCAUAUUUAAAUGAGCUUGAGAAAAGGCUUGUGCAUUUAAUCUUCAUACCCCCUUCAGUUUACCACUUAUUCAUUAGCUUCACUAACCUGCUUGCUUUGCCAAAUAUAGGGACACACAUGCUUCCUGGAUGUAGUGAUAAGUUAGGAUAGUAAAAUCUAUUUACUUUUUGAAGCAUGAUAAUGUGAGUAAAAAAAUAAACCAUUUAAGAGCGGGAUGCAGGGCUGAAAGGUAAACUUUUUAACUGACAUGCCAAUUUUAAUGAAAUCUGUCGUGAGGCUUUUUAUUCUUAUCAUUAGAACAUAUAGUAAAUUUGAUUAACCUAGCACAAAUACAAAAAAAAAGUUGUGCAUGUCCCAUUGAGAAAAUGAUUGUGUCAUCUCAUUUAGGACAACUAUCCUUUUAAAAGUUAUUAAGCUAGAUAAGAAUAUUCUGAACAAAUAUCCUCUGGACUCCCUAUAUUACAAGAUAGAAGCAGCUGCUUGUAAUUUUAUGCCUUCUGUAGAGACGGCAUCACCUCAAAGCUCUUAAAUCUAUACUUUUUUUUAUUGAGGCAGUUUAGAAUUUCACGAUGUCCAUAGUCUUGUUCGUAUUACAUAUUUUUCAGCCUAGAAACAAUCUAACAAACAGUUUUUGCCUUUGCAGUUUCAAAACGAUAGUUUUCCUAAAAGUGUGAAUUGGCCCAAAAAGUGAACAGAGAAAAAUCGAUUCAAAGAUCUCAAAACAUGCCAAAACACAUGCAAUUGCUGGGUAAAAAAAGCUGAUUUUAGUCUCUUCUAUCUCUCGGAUAAUAACCAAACUUGGCAAGGAACUUCUUUAUAUGCUUAGAAAUCAAACCAAAAAUUAGGAAAUGUGUAUUUCUGCCGAAAAUUAUGAUUUAGCCCUGCGUCGCCUCUUAAAAAUUGCAAAUUUUUUGUAAACAUUUUUUUUUCUUUUUCUCUUUUUUGUGCAUGCUGCCCACUUGCAUUCAGGAGGAAUGUGUGUUGCUUACAUUGUAAGCGACCUAUUCUGGCCUCUGUUUUUCCUUCGUCCUGGGUGCAGUGGGCUCAGUGCACUUAUUUCUGCUUGAUUUCAAUAUGUACAGCUGACAUGUUUUGGAGAAAAAUAUUUGCAUAUGCAUUUUUAUGCUUCAAUUUAAUGCAGGAGACAUGCUGUUAUGGUGGACCCAAAAGGCAUAUCUUAUAGUGUGUGCCAAACAUUAUUUUAUUAAAAAAAGAGAAGUGACCUGGUAGCUAACAGAAUGCUAUGGCUAGUGUGCAAAAAUGUCACUUUGUCCUAUAAGCCUCCAUACUUCUUUUACAGAGGUCUCUGGAACUUAAAACAAGCCUGGACAGCUUAAUUGGUUCACUGCACUACAAAUAGCUGUCAUGCAUUUUGUUUUGCGACUGUAAAGGAAACAGUUUGACUAUCUGACUUUUAUAAUAUUGCUGACAGCUUUGAAGAAUCUCGUAUCAAUAGGAACCAUUUUAUUUCUUUUUAAUAUAACUAUAAGUGCUUGUGAAAACUCUCAGUACACUGUGAUAGCCUGUUUUGUUCAUAUUUGAUUGCUGGCUCAAGUUUACUUUGUUAUUCAUGGUGCGCCAGGUUUUGACACCAAAUUUAAAUCCAUGCCAGUAGUGCGGUACUUAGCAGUGAUGGCCAACUUUUUCCCACAUGACAAGCCUUUUUCCAGCACUACUUGAGAACUUGUAUAAGAGAUGUGGUGGAGGAUAAACUUGCAUCAUGGUUGCUUUUGCUUGCUGGCUUAUCUUGCAUUGUUCGAACUAACACUGGCUAACAACUAUUGCUUGCAGUGCUCUGUAGCUUGUUUUGUCUUGUGCGGUCUGUUUUCGAUAAUGUUGUCUCUGCAGCCAAAACCUGUCGCAAAAGCACUAUGAGGUCAUUAAAUUAUAUCUGCCAGACCACAUAAUAGAGACAUAAAUGGCUCAUGCUGCCAUUGAAAUGAAAGUAUAUUCGAAAUAACUACUUGUUUAUAUGUAGACGCACAUACAUAUAGUCGCUAAUCAAUUUUUUGGACAUUUCCCGCGGUGUCGCCACCUUCUCCAUAGAACUAAUAUAUGACGACGGCUGAACUUUCGGAUGUUGUAUGGUGUCUUGUGGGGCAUCUCAUUCGGUCUUUCGGACAUGAUUCAUGCAUGCGAUUUUGCAACGACAGUGAAUGGUUGGUACCAUUAAAGUUGCUGCCCAUACCCUUGCUUUUGUUGGCGAGCCUGUUUUACGGCUUUCCAAACGCCUUGCAGUUGCCACUAAUAGUGCUGUGCCGAUUCAGUGCCAAACCAAAACUUUCAUCGACACGCGAUGAAGCAGUGCUCGUUAGGCCUAUGAUCAUGGAAAUGUGGCCGAUUAUCGAAGCUUUCUGGUAAAGUUUUCGUACAAGCGGCUCAUUGGUGAUGAGGCCAGAGAUCACGUGCAUCAGUUAGACUGACAGUUGCAGAAGCCACAUUCAGGUCUUCGAGUGACUAGCCGGCAACUACCGCGAGUGUGUGUGCUUACUAUACGGAAAGGUGUAAGCACUCGUAUGUGUGGACAGCUCCGAACUGAAUAUGUGCAUAACAGGCUAAACUGCUGGGAUUGCACAGACUUGGUCGCAAGCGACAUUUAGGCCGGGUUAAUGUGACGAUUCUAUUCAACUGCACUGCGUAAGUGGUCAAGUGGCGCUCAGCCAGCAUUAUCACCAGGAGUGGCUACUUGUAAAUGGUGGAUAAUAAGAAACAUAAAGAAUGGGAUCGAGCUGAAGAAAUCCUUACAUUAUUCUGACCCUGCGACAGCAUGCAGUGGGGGAACAUGAAACGUAAAUGUUCUGUGGCGAAACAUCUAUGCUGCAUCGACCGUCACAAAUUUUCAAGUAGAUAUUAUUGCACUGAAGCACAACGCCAAGCAGAAGUCUAAACAAAUUUUCUGUGCUGCUGGCAUUGUAAAAAAAAAACAUAAAGAAAAGCUUUUCUCUCUCAAAAUUAGUUUUUUUGGAUUGCCUCAUUAUUAUGACAUUUUACGGCCUCCUCUCGGAGAUGGCUCUACAGGGAGGGUGGCUGAGCCCCCCCAUAUGCCCCCCCCCCCCUCAUCGGCCUCCUCCUGCAACCAUGGGGUGCCAAGUAAUGGAGUACGUUUCCUGCACCCCCAACAGAAAAAUCCUGACAGUACCCCUGCCUCCUCUGUGUCCGAAAAAUUUUUCAGUGGCUGUAGAUAUAUGUAAAAAAAAUCCAGUCUGUCUGUAGAAACUUGCUAGGGAUUAUUCAUCUAUUGGUGGUCGAAGGUGGUUUAAACGCUAAGAUAGUUUUUCUAAUGCGUGUCUCAUGCUACAAUGAAGCAAUCAUUGAUGACCUGCAGCAACAAGGGUAAAAGGUUAGAUAGCUUCUGUUUGAAGACUGCAACGGUAGCAAGUGGCUGUCGAGUUCACUGUUCUGUCGCCAGUAAAAUCCAUACUGGUUAAUGUUCCAUGUGUUGCAAGUCACGAGUGCCUUAGCUCUUGCUCUUUCAAUGAAUGACUGAAUGUGUACCGCUAAAAAAUUACAUUUCCAUUAUCGCUUCUGGAAUGAGAGGUGGGGGGGGGGGGGGGCACUACAAAAUUAUCUUUUUUCCAACCGAUCUUUUUUUUAUCUUCAGGUGCGGUACGACAAGUUGGAUAGUCCGCUACUGUCCGACUGAUUUCAUGGAGCAGGAAACCAGAUACGUGCGGAUUACUGUCUGCCUUAUUUUACUGCUGCUUAGCAUGUUGUUUUGUGGCUCUGCUGACUUACAUUUUCUUUUCCUUUUGUUUUGUCCUUGUGUUAGGUGUGCUGUUGGUCUGAUUGAUUGUUUUGUUUUGUUAUUUGAUUUUAUUAUAGUAUUGAAGUACUGACAUGGAAGCCCGCGAGUGCUACGCAUUAUCUUGUGCAAACAUUAGUAUUUGCAUUCUUAAGAUCUUUGUCAUGUAGCACAGCUUGGCCUCCAUAGAGCCCCUGUUAUUUUUUUUUUUUUUCGCUGUUCUGUGCUUGGAGCUUCACUAACAAAAAGCUUUGUAACACCAUGCUUCUGCAUAGUAGCUUCAAGGAUACGCCAGACAAGCUCUUUAGCUGAUGGCAAGGUGGGAGACCAGAACACAUUUACCUUCUCCUCGGUAACUUUCUCUUGCAAUUUUUUUAUUUAAAUUUUUUUGUGGAAACCCAAAUAUUUUGUCUUCCUCUAUCGGUCUGGAAUCCAGGCAGAUUGCUAAUGCAGUGGGAUGAUCUGGUGCAUGUGAAGAAUGCAGAAAGAAGCUGAAUGACUGCCUUACUAACCAGCCUGUUUUUCUUUUUUUUGUUGUUGUUGUCUGCGUCGGUUUUCUUUGUGUGGCCCUGUCCUUGUUGACUCUCCUAGGGACCAUCUCGUGACUUGGCCUCGCUGCAUGUCCUAGCAGUGGAGCUUGCAGCUGGUCCUUGACAAGUGGUCAACCCUUUUACGCCACCCACUGCAUGGAAGAGGAAUGAGAUUGCCUGACUGCUGGGAUUUAGCCAGUCAACUGGCGCAAUCUACCUUUCCAUAUAAAGCCUUUUGUAGGAUCUGUUAGCUCCUUGCUUCUCAAUGCUUGCAUGUUUGCUAACCUUACAUGUAAAAUGGGUUUUAGAGCUCUGUUUCUGUUGUUGUGGUUAUUGAAAGGAGUUAUUGCAGUAUGCUCUACAUUGUGCUGCGCUGUGAAUUCAAGUGUUUGGCUUGUUCUGAGCCCUCUAUGAUGUUUCCAGGUGAUACUUUGAACACUUUUCAUUGCCUUGUGUCAUUGGUGUUCACAGCAUUGCUCUUCCAUUUGUCGGAAUCAUGGUGAUAAGCGAAUAUCAAGGGCCAUCGUAUAGUUUUACUUCUAUAAACACUGUUCUUGUGGCCUCUGUUCUUAGCUUCUUGCACACUUCAGGAGUGGUGCUUGUUAAAGGCUGUUGUUUAACGAAUUGACUUCAGACUGGUUAAUACUGUCAUUUAGAAACAAAUCAUCUCAAAGGUGUUCUCAUUUGUGCAAUCAGUUCAUAUGGCUUGCAUUCUUCAGCUGGGAGUGUUUUCAUUGUUGGAUGUGGCAUCAUUUCCUUUGGUAAGCUAAGCUACAAGGAAUGCACAACUGUGAUUGGUACUUAAACAUUUGGCUGGUGAUCUUUUUAAAGUGGCCCAUCUGUACUGAUAACUAUUAAGAAGCACAGAAAGUAUUUUUGAUGCUUUAGGGUGACCAGAAGUGUGUUUAUUAUGUCUGUGUCACUGUAGCCCAAUGUUCAAACAAAUUAUUUAGAUGCAUACUUUCCUGUUACAAAAACAAAUAAACUAGCAUAAGCAAAUGUG